UAUAUACUCCCUCCUUUCGGAAUUACUUGUCGCAGAAAUGGAUGUAUCUAGACAUAUUUUAGUUCAAGAUAUAUCCAUUUUCACGACAAGUAAUUCCGAACGGAGGGAGUACAUA
rfam:Triticum aestivum genome assembly, contig: Triticum_aestivum_CS42_TGACv1_scaffold_643397_T_5BL-0.230158_1BL-0.193527